rnacentral:rRNA from 1 species
AUUGAACGCUGGCGGCAGGCCUAACACAUGCAAGUCGAACGAGUGGCGGACGGGUGAGCAAUGACUGGGAAACUGCCUGAUGGAGGGGGAUAACUACUGGAAACGGUAGCCAAUACCGCAUACCUUCGGAUAGGUCCAGUUGGGAGUAGCUAGUAGUUGGGGCAACGGCUCACCAGGGCGACGAUCCGUACCUGGUCUGAGAGGAUGAACAGGCACACUGGAACUGAGACACGGUCCAGACUCCUACGGGAGGCAGCAGUGGGGAAUAUUGGACAAUGGGCGAAAGCCUGAUGCAGCCAUGCCGCGUGUAUGAAGAAGGCCUUCGGAUUGUAAAGUACUUUCAGCGAGGAGGCGUUACUCACAGAAGAAGCACCGGCUAACUCCGUGCCAGCAGCCGCGGUAAUAC